GAAAUGCGAUAAGUAGUGUGAAUUGCAGAAUUCAGUGAAUCAUCGAAUCUUUGAACGCACAUUGCGCCCCUUGGUAUUCCAUGGGGCAUGCCUGUUCGAGCGUCAUUUGUACCCUCAAGCUCUGCUUGGUGUUGGGUGUUUGUCCCGUCUCCGCGCGUGGACUCGCCCCAAAGUGAUUGGCAGCCGGCGUACUGGUCCCGGAGCGCGGCACAUGUCGCGCAAACGAGUGCCUUGGUACGGCGGCGUCCAUAAGCCCCUCUCUCACGCUCUUGACCUCGGAUCAGGUAGGGAUACCCGCUGAACUUAAGC
rnacentral:misc_RNA from 1 species